GUCGGGUGCAGUGGCGCGCGCCUGUAAUCCAAGCUGCUGGGGGGCUGAGGCUGGCGGAUCGCUUGAGUUCAGGGGUUCUGGGCUGCAGUGGACUAUGUCGAUCGGGUGUCCGCACUAAGUUCGGUAUCGAUAUGGUGCUCCUGGGGGAGCUCGGGACCACCAGGUCGUCUAAGGAGGGGUGAACCGGCCCAGGUCGGAGACGGAGCAGGUCAAAGCCCCCGUGUCGAUCAGUAGUGGGGUCGCGCCUGUGAAUAGACACUGCAGUGCAGCCUGAGCGAUACAGCGAGACUCAGACUUU
rnacentral:SRP_RNA from 1 species